UACGUAGGGUGCGAGCGUUAAUCGGAAUUACUGGGCGUAAAGCGUGCGCAGGCGGUCUUGCAAGACAGGUGUGAAAUCCCCGGGCUUAACCUGGGAACUGCACUUGUGACUGCAAGGCUGGAGUACGGUAGAGGGGGAUGGAAUUCCGCGUGUAGCAGUGAAAUGCGUAGAUAUGCGGAGGAACACCGAUGGCGAAGGCAAUCCCCUGGACCUGUACUGACGCUCAUGCACGAAAGCGUGGGGAGCAAACAGG
rnacentral:rRNA from 1 species